CACUGUCUGCAAAUGAGUGGAUACCGUUUUGCAACUAAUUUAUUUGCAAUGUUUGCUAAAGGGAAGUGGCUGGGGAAGUAGUCAGGGAAGUGGUCCAGGUCAGGGAAGUGGCUGGGGAAGUAGUCAGGGAAGUGGUCAGGGAAGUGGCUGGGGAAGUAGUCAGGGAAGUGGUCAGGGAAGUGGCUGGGGAAGUAGUCAGGGAAGUGGUCCAGGAAGUGGUCAAGGAAGUGGUCAAGGUCAGGAAAGUGGUUGGGGAAGUGGCUGGGGAAGUAGUCAAGGUCAAGGAAGUGGUCAGGAAAGUGGUCCUGGUUGGGGAAGUGGCUGGGGAAGUAGUCAGGGAAGUGGUCCAAUUCAGUGCUUUAUUCAUAUGGCAUGUUUUCCAUGUUUGCUCAAACAGUUAAGAGAUUUCUGUCUUUCUCUUGGCCCCUCCCCCCCACCCCCAAAAAAAAUUAAAAGAAUUGCGAUUUGAGGAGUUGAUGGAGGUGUGUGUGUGUGGUUUUUGUUUAUUGCAAAUGAUUUAUUCUGAAGCCAU
rnacentral:lncRNA from 1 species